CGCCGCAGAUAGGGAGCGAGGCCCGCACGCACGCCGUCCGCGCGACGUGCUGCCUGCCGUCGUCCCCUUCGACGAAGCGCUGCCACUGCCAGGCCAGCGGCAUCUGCGAGCAUCACGCCGGCUCCGGCACCUGCGCGGCGGCACCGGUGACUCCGUUCGCUUCCACGCCGUGGGCAGGCCGGUGGCGCCGGGCGCGGCCAUCCCCUCGCGAGCGCGCCGCCGGACAGUAGCUUCCUCCCGUGCCUCGUCUUGAACGCGCGCCUCCACACGGCGCUCGAAUGACGUCGAGGAAGCACGCCGUGGUGAUGCGGCGGCGGCGCACCAUGCACGGACCAUGUGCAGAGGGGGGGGGGGGCAUGAGGAGAAGGGAUGCAUCUACGCAUUGGUAGAAUCCGAUUCAGUUUCAGAGUUCAGCAUCCGUUACGUACAUGGCCUGAAACUUCAGCUGGCUGAUCGUUCACUCUUUACCUUUCCACCUUGUUUCCCCAUCUAACAUUCACUACCAUUAUUCACUCACGGUAUCAUUUGACUUUAAUUAUUUGGACUUGAAAUCGUUGAUCAAUCGUUAAGCAUCUUGCUCUGAAAGUUUUCUUUGUGCUGAACUAACUCUCCUCCCUCUCUUGUGUCUGCUCAACUGCCUAUCACUCGUAGCAACUCCAUACAGUUCUGGAUAUAGCCAUCGAAACAAAUGAAGACAAUCAGUGACUCCAUAGGGAAUCAAACAAUACUGACAAUGUCAUGCAGCAAUUUUCAGUCACUGCUUUGUUCAAUACAAGACAGCCUACUAUUCAUUUUAUCUCCCUGUUCCAUGUGCACUUCUGCUGGCUGGUGAGAACUUGGAAUGGUGAUGUACAGAACAUUCUUGUUGAAAUGGGAACAUAAUUUCGAGUCCAGGAUGAUUAUCUAGAUUGUUUUGGUGAUCAUGAAUUCAUUGGCAAGAUUGAAAGGAACAUAUAGAUAGUCAUUAGUCAAUAACAUAAAUCCUUCACCAGGGUUAUCUCGGAGGUCUGCUUCGAGCUCUGGUGGUUCUGGACACGGGUUUAUACCAUUGGAUCCAGAAGUGCAAUUGCCAUUAGGAAGUGGAAGGUCCAAGAGGCAACAUUCAUCUGGAAGAAGCUUGGGGAAUCUUGAUCCAGUUGAUGAAGGACUUUCCACUGGAGCAAGAAGUGAGGGACUUCAAGAUGAGAAGACUUAUUAAUUACUCGUGGUCUUGGUAGCGAUAACAGAAGCACCAUUCUUUUGUUCUCUGUUACGUGGUAGACUUGGCAAUUUGCUUACUUAAAUAUGUAUAUGUAGAAUAUUUUAGAACAUACUUGUAGAUUUAAUGUCAGAAAUUAAAUGACUGAAGAUGAUCUGAAAGUUAGAAUUUGUUAUCUUCCACAUCUGCAGUAUAUGCUAUGCUGCUUACUGUCCAUAAAUAGCAUGGCUGCCAGUUACCAAAUUCUUUGAGUGAUUUGACACACAUGAUUUUUCUUCCAUGCAUAUGUGUGCAGUGCAUACAAAUUCUUGAGAUAAUUAAAUCAGACUUGCCUGCCUUGUGUUCUUCUUUUGUCUUACAGAGAUGAAAGAUGUCAUGGAAUUAUCCAAGAAAGCACGGCUUGAUCUUUCCUCUACUGCUCAGCCUGUAAAACCGUUCAACAAACCUGCAGCCAGAGCUCCUGAGGAUAAGCCUGCUGGAAAUAUUCCAUCUGCAGAGAAGAGUCAAAUUCCUCCAACAUGGCUGAAAAUUUCAUGCACAGUAUAGGUGGGGAUGUAUUGAUCAAGCCUGAUAACUCAGACACUGCAGCACAUAUGUCUGCGGUGUAUAUCAAAGUACACAUUAGCUUGCAUUGCAGUGCCCAAGGCGUCUGUGGUUGACACGCCAACAAAUAUGCGUACAUAUUUUGCACCGUACUUGAUAGAUAGAAUGAUACUUGGGAUACUAAGUUGACGGAUUUUGUGGCUUGGAGUUCUGGUUGUCAGGUAGCAUCUUCUAUAUAUUGUUCAUUGAUGACGAGCAAUUUCUAAUGUUUCUGUUGGUUGUGAUAAUAAGCAUUUAGGGGUUGGGGAUCCCUGUUGAUAAAUUGGUUGUCCAAUUCAAAUUA